UACGUAGGGUGCAAGCGUUAAUCGGAAUUACUGGGCGUAAAGCGUGCGCAGGCGGUUAUAUAAGACAGAUGUGAAAUCCCCGGGCUCAACCUGGGAACUGCAUUUGUGACUGUAUAGCUAGAGUACGGCAGAGAGGGAUGGAAUUCCGCGUGUAGCAGUGAAAUGCGUAGAUAUGCGGAGGAACACCGAUGGCGAAGGCAAUCCCCUGGGCCUGUACUGACGCUCAUGCACGAAAGCGUGGGGAGCAAACAGG
rnacentral:rRNA from 1 species